AACGAACGCUGGCGGCAUGCCUAACACAUGCAAGUCGAGCGAGGACUUCGGUCCUAUCGGCCGACGGCGUAGUAACGCGUCGGAACGGUCCCUUUUCUUCGGAAUAGCCCUAGGAAACUGGGAGUAAUACGGGAUGAGCCCUUUUGGGGGAAGAUUUAUCGGCGAAGGAUCGGCCCUCGUUGGAUUAGGUAGUUGGGGCGGUAAUGGCCUACCAAGCCGACGAUCCAUAGCUGGGUUGAGAGGAUGAUCAGCCACACUGAGACUGAGACACGGCCCAGAAUCCUACGGGAUGCGGGAGUGGGGAACCUUAGACAACGGGGGAAAUCCUGAUCUAGCCAUGAUGCGUGAGCGCUGAAGGCAUUAGAGUAGUAAAGCGCUUUCAGCUGGGAACAUAAUGACGGUACCAGCAGAAGAAGCCACGGCUAACUCCGUG
rnacentral:rRNA from 1 species